rnacentral:lncRNA from 12 species
GCUGGUCAGGGGAGGGUCCUGAGGGAUGAGAAAUGGAAGGAACUGGAGAAAGGAAAGGUGAAAAGAACACUGGAGUGGCUAUUUCACAGAGCUGUACAUACAGCUCCCAGGCAUCCUGCUGGGACAGCUACUGGAAUUUCAAAUUUGUGUUCGUGGAUGGAAUAGUCAUACAAACUGGGAGAGGGCAUUCCAAAGACUCCCUCAUCUGCA